AGAGUUUGAUCCUGGCUCAGGAUGAACGCUAGCGGGAGGCUUAAUACAUGCAAGUCGAACGGUAACAGGUUCUUCGGAACGCUGACGAGUGGCGCACGGGUGAGUAACGCGUACGCAAUCUGCCCUUGAGAGGGGGAUAGCCCUGGGAAACUGGGAGUAAUCCGCCAUAGUUUCUGUGAUCGGCAUCGGUUAUAGAAUAAAACUUCGGUGUUCAAGGAUGAGCGUGCGUCUGAUUAGCUAGUUGGUAAGGUAACGGCUUACCAAGGCGAUGAUCAGUAGGGGGCGUGAGAGCGUGGACCCCCACACGGGUACUGAGACACGGACCCGACUCCUACGGGAGGCAGCAGUAAGGAAUAUUGGACAAUGGGUGAGAGCCUGAUCCAGCCAUCCCGCGUGCAGGAUGACUGCCCUAUGGGUUGUAAACUGCUUUUCUUAGAGAAGAAACCACUUCCUGCGGGAGGUGCUGACGGUAUCUGAGGAAUAAGCACCGGCUAACUCCGUGCCAGCAGCCGCGGUAAUACGGAGGGUGCAAGCGUUAUCCGGAAUCACUGGGUUUAAAGGGUGCGUAGGUGGCCUGAUAAGUCAGAGGUGAAAGGUGCCAGCUUAACUGGCGAAUUGCCUUUGAUACUGUUGGGCUUGAAUUAAGUUGAGGUCAGCGGAAUGUGACAUGUAGCGGUGAAAUGCAUAGAUAUGUCAU
rnacentral:rRNA from 1 species